rnacentral:lncRNA from 13 species
AUGUUUGUUUUGGAGCUGCUUGUUAAGUCUAGGAUUGUUCUUUACCCACAGGACUUUGUGAAGGUCUACAGAGAACUGGGGUACAAGGUUGAGGACAAGAUUCCAUUCUCCAUCCUAUCCCAGCAUCCGGUCAUACAAGAUCUGAUCGAGGGCUCUGCUCAAUACCAACUCAUUGAUAUUCACCGAGCUCUGCAGGUCCAACAGAGCGAAGGGGAGCCUCUGUCUUUGAUGGUGUCUUAAGAUAAAUAUACCACGCAGUUAACUCUCACAAGCCAACCUGAGAUUCCCAUCCGCUUAGAAAUGCAGUUGAUUUAAAAAUAAUUCUGCAAAUUAUACAGUGCAUUAUAAAAUAAUUAGAAUUAAUUAUUUCAAAAUGUUAACCUUCAGUUUAUGAAUUUACAUGCCUCUUUCUUGAAGUGUUUCAUUAAAAUCACAAAAAUGAAGACUUUGUUGUUCUUAUGCAGAUAAUGAUUGUGGCUUUAACAUAUCCUCAACAAACAUUGUCCCCAAUAUCAAAUCAAAUGUUAUUUGUCACAUACACAUGGUUAGCAGAUGUUAAUGCGAGUGUAGCGAAAUGCUUGUGAUUCUAGUUCCGACCAUGCAGUCAUAUCUAACAAGUAAGCUAACAAUUUCACAACAACUACCUUACACACACAAGAGUAAAGGAAUAAGAAUAUCUUGUGGCAGACCAGGGGGUUGGGUCAAGACGUUUACACAGAUCAGACACGGACAGAGUAUGAUUAGCUCGGUUUCAAGGGUGUUUAUUAAACAAUAAAUCAAAAGGAUAGGUCUCCCCCAUGACACCCUCUCCAGGAUACCGUCUUCUGGGCCCCAGGUCUUGCUGUGUCCUGUCGGGCACACAAACUCCCUCGUCUUAGCUCGGGCACCGUCUCCAACUACACGGAAGUCACCUUACUUCUUUCUCGCUGUUAUGGGGCUUGAACAGCUGGUGAGCAAUCAGCCCUUGAUUAAUCACCAACUCCCCAAUCAGCCCCAAUUAGUCCUGGGCGGCGAGCCCGUCGAGACCUGGCACGUCCAGCAGAGGGAGCCAUCGCCUUGUGAUGUAUACUCCUUCUCUCACCAGGCCUCGGCGAGUCUCCCCCUGGUGGCUGACCUGCUGUAGACCACAAUGUACAUAUAUAUAUAUAUAUAUAUAUAUAUAUAUAUAUAUAUAUAUAUAUAUAUAUAUAUAUAUAUAUAUAUAUAUAUAUAUAUAUAUAUGGAUGAGCAAUGGCCGGAACGGCAUAGGCAAGAUGCAGUAGAUGGCAUAGAGUACAGUAUAUACAUAUGAGAUGAGUAAUGUAGGAUAUGUAAACAUUAUAUAAAGUGGCAUUGUUUAAAGUGACUAGUGAUACAUUUAUUACAUCAAUUUUCCAUUAUUAAAGUGGCUAAUGAUGAGUCAGUAUGUUGGCAGCAGCCGCUCAAAGUUAGUGAUGGCUGUUUAACAGUCUGAUGGCCUUGGGAUAUAAGUUGUUUUUCAGUCUCUCGGUCCCAGCUUUGAUGCACCUGUACUGACCUCGCC